AAAUAAAAGAAAAGAAAAGAAAAAAAAUAAAAAUGGGAGGAAUAGUAAACUCAUCGUUCUCACUCCCUCAAUCUCAAAAUCGCUCGUCCCUAAACCUUUACUCUCUCCGUCCUCAUUCAUCACCGCUCAGGCUCUCUCUCACAAUUUCACUUCACAAAAUCGUUCUCCAACUCAUGUCUCUCACAUCAUAACCCUCUCUCAAACGUGCGUUUUUUCUUAAUCGCUUCCGAAUCAUAAAAGAAAUCAAUGGCUGAAGCAAAAAAACGCUCACCUCCGGCGGUAAAGACGGCAAUGAUGAAGCUUCCAACUCUUUCAACUCUCCAAAACAGGUUAGGGUUUCAAAUUCGUGUCUUUAUAGCUCAAAGAAGAAGGUGCCAAAACACUUUUUUGAGUUCAGUACUGGAUUGGUCCUCUUUGAAGCUGCAAUUCGGAAAGUAAAAAUGUUGAAGAUUCCAAAAGCAGUUUUUAUUACGGUUUUGGAGGUUAUGUCUGAUAUCGAUUCGGUUGGGCUGACAUCUCUCUAGUAAUGUUCUAGACACAGUUGAUUCCAAACAAUCGAACAAUGUUGCAUAAGAAUAUAGGGCUUCAAGCAGACGCUCCGUUAGAGUUGAACCAUUGUGAUUUGAAUCCUGUUCGGUAACAACCAUGACUUUUGGCGAUAAGCUCCACAGGGCGUUGAGAAAGCUUUCUGCAUUCAUUGAAGCAGUUGGAGAUGCUGGCGAAGAGGAUGAUGAUGCUGAACCGGGACUUGGACUAUAGCCAUUAACCGUAUCUUUUUCAAGUAAAUCCCCUAAUGAUGUGCUUUGGUUCAUCAGCAUAACUUUUUGAAGGUGAAGUCCAUUUGAGUUUCUUGACAGAACAUGAGUUUUUUUCUUUCUUACUUUCAAAGACUUGAUUUGCAUUGCAUUUUUUUUUUUUUUGCUUUGGGUACUGGCUGUUAUGGUUUGAUUUUCACAGGACUCCUUAAAGAAGUGAUUAAGGCAUAUCGUGACAGUGCAUUUAGAUCUGCUGCCCAAAGCAUUGGUGAACUUCCGAUACAUAUCCAAUUUUAUCAUCAUCCUUCUGGCCUGAAGUUUAUUUAACGUUGUAGGCAAUGGAGUGAAAAUCCAAAGAAUGAAGAACACAUCUAAUACUGCCGCGGGAAGAACCAAAAAAGUUUUGCUUUACCCGAAAGAUCACUUAUUGCACCAACAUGUUCUACCAAUUCAAGAACUUCUGAUGCAACAAAGAAGGUUCGUGGCAAUUAUUCGAAGCCAAUGCGCUUGAAGAUUUUAUGGCACCUCUAUGAGGAUUUGCGGCUUUUCUCUCUUUCCUUUUUUACGGAAUACACUGUGAUAUUUUCUUCGUGUGCAUCAUGCAGGUAUCAUUCAUCAACUGGAAUCUCUGAAGGAGUUUCUUUACUGUGAUUCCAACAUACUGCUGAGAAAGAGGCACAGGUCUAUAACUGUUAUCGAAAUAAAACCACCCCUUGUUCAGAUCGACACGCAAGAAUAGGGCCACGUCCUCCUAAUUAGGGAGAGUAGCCGACAAUCCCACCAAUCGAAUAUAAUCUUUGGUUGUUUCAAAUCUGCCUUACUGUUCUAACAACAAUACUUUCGAUUACAGGCCCUCUGUUAUCAUGAAGGAGAAGAAUCUCAUCAAUAAUGAGGAGCUUCACAAGAUGUGCAUAAGUUCGGUCCCUGGACUUCCGUGUGAUAAUAUCCCACUUCUCAGGAGUUGUCACAAUAAUUUGAGUCUCUUCUAUCUGCUGUCUUGUUAGUGACUGAUCUCCACUGCUUAAAGAUGUGCCAUUUGCAGAAACGGUGGCAGGCGUCGGGGAAAUACCUGCAUUAAGGCGAACUGUAUAACGGAAUCAUGGUCGGUAGUCAUUGAGACAAAGUCCAUUUGUAUCCAUUAUUGUUGUAACAUCCUGAAUACUUGUGUCUGCUUUAAUAUUUGAGAGUGUCUGAAAGAAUUAUGUAUGAUCAAUUUGUCAACAGCCAUGUUAGUAAGAAACUUUGCCAAUCAGCUGCUUAUUAUA